UACUUGUGUUUCUCUUCAGAUCGUAUGAAUCUUUCACCUUUUACUAAAAAUUCCCAUGGGGGGAGAAAAAGAAAGGAAAGAAGAAAAG
rnacentral:snRNA from 1 species